CUAUAGUAAGCUACUGAGUUUCCGUGGCUAACUUUGAUCAUCCGUCUUAUUUAAAAUUUUUUUAAAAAAAAUUUAAAAACAUAAGUCACGUAUAAAGUACUAUUCAUGUUUUAUCAUCUUAUAAUAACAAAAAUACUAAUUAAAAAAAUUUAAAUAAGACGAACAAUUAAAAUUGGGUGUAGAAACUUAUGGUUGCAUUUAAA
rfam:Oryza nivara chromosome 1, whole genome shotgun sequence.